rnacentral:rRNA from 1 species
GACGAACGCUGGCGGCGUGCUUAAUACAUGCAAGUCAACUUGACUUUAGAUAGCAAUAUCGAAAAGUAGGGUGGCGCACGGGUGCGUAACGCGUAGGUAAUCUGCCCUGAGGUCUGACAUAACCCGUCGAAAGGCGGGCUAACAUCAGAUGAUAUAUAAUCACGACAUCGUGGAAAAUAUCAAAUCUUCGGAGCCUUGGGAUGAGCCUGCGUCUGAUUAGGUAGUUGGCGGAGUAAUAGCCCACCAAGCCUACGAUCAGUAGCUGGUCUGAGAGGAUGAUCAGCCACACUGGAACUGAGACACGGUCCAGACUCCUACGGGAGGCAGCAGUAAGGAAUAUUGCUCAAUGGGGGGAAACCCCUAGAAGCAGCAACGCCGCGUUGAGGGAUGAAAU